CUCCCCGAGCUAAUCUCUCGCUCGUCUCUCCCUCUUCCCCGCACCACUCCUCGCCGCCGCCACCACCUACGGCGCACGAUCCCGUCUGAUUCCGGCGUCCUCUGGCUGCGCCCAGCACACCACCGUGCCCCCCUCCCAACGCGCCUUCCUCCCAUCGGGCCAGAUCCGGCGCGCGCGUCCUCCAGCGGCCAAGCGCGACACUGCCCAGCAGCUAGGGUUUGGGCCAGCACAUCGCCGGGCAUGGAGCCUCCUCCCGCUGUCUCCUUCUACAACUUCUCUUCUUCUCCUCUCGAUGUGUGCGUGUAUUGUGUCAAUGAAAGGAAUUCAAGGCCAUGGUCGGAGAGAGAGGAGCUGCUCCUAGUAUAGGACGCCAUGGAAGGUGCUGCUCUGAUGAGGAGAAACUGCUGCUGCAGGACGUCCUCCUCCCCUCCUACCCCCACCUAGGGCUCUCGGAGGAGGUGAAGCAAUGGGACAGCCACGUCAUGAAGGGCUGCAAGGGAGAUAUGUCCAUCGGUUGCCUCAGGUUCUUCUUUGAUCGUAGAUCGUUUUCCUACGAUGCCGACGACAGAAUCCCAUAAUGUAUGUUCAUUGCCAAUCUAUGGAUCGUACAAAGAAGAUUGACUAAGAGCUUAGAUGUGUCUGCAGAGGCAUAAAAAACAUGGUGAUCAGAAGGAUUUGUACGGCAUAUAUCCCUGAUUCUUCUCAUCAAUUUAGCGGCGAAUCACGUCAUCCGAUUGACUCAUAUUGCAACAGGGAAAGGCAGAUAUGCCAUGGCCUUUGCCUCCAUGUGCCAUUGGCCUUUGUGUGUUUCUUUUAUUUGGAGGAAAACGAGAUUGAGCUGUAGACUAUGAACAUCGCAGACUGAUAAUGUAAUUGGCCUUCUGCUCAGAUUUUAUAAAAUUGGAUAAUGAAGUGCAAUACAGGACCCUCGGCUAUGGAAUAAUUACUCUUUUAUAUCUCACUGUCCAGCCUUUUAUUCAAGGUAAAUAUGGUGCACCGCCUCUCCGUACAAGGUGUCAAUUUAGCAUCUAUUUAUCCGGCCAAAUCGCAUAUGCGAAGCUUUUCUUGAUGCAUAGUUCUGUACCAUAGCCUAAGAAUCAGAGGUUGAUCUAUAUAUGUGAUUAUUGUUGUCAAGCGAUUUGUUUUGUCACAACCACUUUGCUCUGCACGGGCGUUCAUGUGUUGGACGCUUGGAGCCCCAGUUAGCCGGUGGCCUCACUGAUUUAAGGUGACGCGUGUGUUAAAUAAAACUGAUGUUGGAGUAAUUAAGCUCAAAAUAUGAACAUUGUUAUGCUUUCUAAGUUUAACAAAACUCUGUCAGUAAAACUGCUAGGCCUAGGUUGACCUUAUUUGCAAAAUAUGCAAAAACAAAUAUUUAUCAGGACAACUAUUAUAACAUAUAUGAGACAUCUCAUUUGUUAUGGUUUCCUGUCUUUCACACAAGAUAAAUGUUAUUUGAGCUAAUUUCUAUGUGCAGGUAUGAGGAUGUAGGUACGAAGGAGCAGCUCGGCAGUUACUUACAAAAAGGCUUGGGCACUCUCAUAAAUGGCUCCAUUUUUGUUUACCUUCUACUGAUCUGUAACAAAGAUGAUUUCUCUGUUGCCGUUGAGGUAAAUGACCAUUCAUAAUCGUACGUGCGAUUUCUACACAUUUUUAAGGCUCAUAAAUGGCUCCAGGAUUUCUCUGGUGGCGAGAUACAUCUCCUUAGCUAAGUUGAAAGCCACUCAGAGACCAUAUGGCAGAGAUACAAUUGGCUAAGGAGAUGUAAAUGACCAUAUGGCAGAGAUACAAUUGGCUAAGGAUUUGACCUAUGAGGAAAAGCCACUCAGAAUACUGGAUCAAACAGAAAGGGUCACUCGCAGCAAAGAAAUAAGGUUUUACAAGGUUCAGUGGGAGCAUCACACCGGAGAAGAAGCAACCUGGGAAAGAGAGGAACUUUUAAGGACUGCAUACCCAGAAUUUUUUUCCCAAGCAAUCGAAUCUCGAGGACGAGAUUCAUCUUAAGUGGGGGAGGUUUGUGAAAGCCUGGAUUUUUGCUUUCUCUCUUUUUUCGGACUUGCCUUCUCUUUUCUUCUGGACGUGGUUUUUACCGUGGUUUUUGCCCUGGCUUGAUUUGGAUUUUGAAUCAUUUCAAAUGGACUUGUCACUUGGGCAUAUCCUUGACUUUCACCCAAGUGACCUAUCUAAUUUAUUCCUUUGAUAAAUCCCCAAAAUAAUCAAAUGAAUAUUUUUCAUAAAAGAAAAAUAUUCAUUUUUCUCUCUGAAAUUCAAUUCAGAAACUUGUGCUCCAAAGCAACCCCAAUUUUUCUUUCCCAGAAAAAUCUGAAAUAAUUCCUGAAUAUUC